rnacentral:rRNA from 1 species
GCGCCGCGCCAGACUUUGAUCCUGGCUCAGGAUGAACGCUAGCUACAGGCUUAGCACAUGCAAGUCGAGGGGCAGCAUUCCAGUUUGCUUGCAAACUGGAGAUGGCGACCGGCGCACGGGUGAGUAACACGUAUCCAACCUGCCGAUAACUCGGGGAUAGCCUUUCGAAAGAAAGGUUAAUACCCGAUGGCAUAAUAGAACCGCAUGGUUUGAUUAUUAAAGAAUUUCGGUUAUCGAUGGGGAUGCGUUCCAUUAGGCAGUUGGUGGGGUAACGGCCCACCAAACCUUCGAUGGAUAGGGGUUCUGAGAGGAAGGUCCCCCACAUUGGAACUGAGACACGGUCCAAACUCCUACGGGAGGCAGCAGUGAGGAAUAUUGGUCAAUGGACGAGAGUCUGAACCAGCCAAGUAGCGUGAAGGAUGACUGCCCUAUGGGUUGUAAACUUCUUUUAUAUGGGAAUAAAGUGAUCCACGUGUGGAUUUUUGUAUGUACCAUAUGAAUAAGGAUCGGCUAACUCCGUGCCAGCAGCCGCGGUAAUACGGAGGAUCCGAGCGUUAUCCGGAUUUAUUGGGUUUAAAGGGAGCGUAGGUGGACAGUUAAGUCAGUUGUGAAAGUUUGCGGCUCAACCGUAAAAUUGCAGUUGAUACUGGCUGUCUUGAGUACAGUAGGGGUGGGCGGAAUUCGCGGUGUAGCGGUGAAAUGCUUAGAUAUCACGAAGAACUCCGAUUGCGAAGGCAGCUCACUGGACUGCAACUGACACUGAUGCUCGAAAGUGUGGGUAU